rnacentral:rRNA from 1 species
AUUGAACGCUGGCGGCAUGCGUAACACAUGCAAGUCGAACGGUUUCUGGUGCUUGCACCGGAGAUAGUGGCGGACGGGUGAGUAAUACGUAGGAAUCUGUCUUAGAGAGGGGGACAACCUGAGGAAACUUAGGCUAAAACCGCAUAAACUCGGAAGAGAAAAGCAGGGGACCGGAAACGGCCUUGUGCUCUAAUGUGAGCCUACGUCGGAUUAGCUAGUUGGUGGGGUAAAGGCCUACCAAGGCGAUGAUCUGUAGCUGGUCUGAGAGGACGGACAGCCACACUGGGACUGAGACACGGCCCAGACUCCUACGGGAGGCAGCAGUGGGGAAUAUUGGACAAUGGGGGGAACCCUGAUCCAGCGAUGCCGCGUGUGUGAAGAAGGCCUGCGGGUUGUAAAGCACUUUCAGUUGGAAAGAGAAGCGAGAUGAGAAUAUUGUUUCGUGGAGACGUUACUAACAGAAGAAGCACCGGCUAACUCUGUGCCAGCAGCCGCAGUAA